rnacentral:lncRNA from 13 species
AGGACUAGUCCACCCACCACAGAGAGGACUAGUCCACCCACCACAGAGAGGAGUAGUCCACCCACCACAGUGAAAUACAACCCAGCACCACACAGUUUAGAAACCACAGGGAAGGUCCAUUCAGCCAGUCCAUGUGUGGGUAUCCCCAACGGACCUGUCACAAAGACCCAGCCUCAGGCCUUCCUCAGUGCUACAAAGACUCACGUUGAGGCAUGUGGAUCAUGUGCCCACUGCCAGGAAGAGCACAAGGUGUGUGUCACAACCAGAAACUCAGCAGAGCCACCUGAACCGUCGGGGACAGAGGAGACAGUGAAUGGGUUCUGUUCAAUCAUGUCGUCCGUGGGGGCUGGAAAUCCUUUUGAGGUGGGACUUCCUGUAGAGGUGGGACUUCCUCCCUUGAUAGACACCCGUGGGCCCAUACCUCUUUCCAACAUCCUGUCACCUGAUCUGUCUCUCUCACCAUCGCAAAACAGGAAGGGGAUCAACCAAUUGGAAUCACAGUUAGCCUCACCGGUCCCAGCUCCUGGGCUGGGCAUUGAAGGAAUGAUACGAACACAGAGCGUUAGUUCACGACCACUGAAGAAGGAUGCCGUUCAAACCCAGGGCCUAAUCCCUGAGCUCCAGGACCAGUCGGGCUCCAGCACAGAGACACCCAGGGACAGUGAGCCCUCACCUGGGGAGAUUACGAGGGAUGAGGGCUGGCUGGGGGAAGGUUAUACCUCCGUAGAGCUCCAGCCUGCUUCUGCUCAUCCCCAGUCUGACGCUGUGGGGUGGAGUGAGGAAUGCCUGCCCACCCACCCACGCUCCCUCCCCCACAUAGACUGGCCGCCUCCCUCUGACAGGUCAGGAUCAGAAGACUCAGAACACUCACAGCUGUUAUCAAAGACCUCGACUAGAGAGGACAGGACAGGACCAACCCAUUCCCUGCCCGUGGUGAGAGAGGAGGAGGAGGAGGAGGAGAAAGAAGAAGAUUGUCAUGUUUACAGUCAACAGGAACAGGCAGUAGAAAGCACAUCCUGCCCUGAAUCAGCACAGCCAAACACUGUUAAAAGAGCAGAGUUCUCUGACCAUAGAGACACCGACUCUGACCAUGUUGGGCUGUCAAGCACAGAGGAGACGGAGGAUGCUAUAUUCCCCUACAGUCCUACAGGAGCCUUCGUAGAGAUCACUAGUGAUCUGUAUGUUGAUCUCUGCACACAGGGUGUUUCUAGUGACAUAGGCCAAGGGUCAAACCAACCUACAGAGACUGAGCCUCUUCAGGGAGACAGCACAGAACCACCUGCCUUAGAUCAGGAGACUGUACCACUGAGUAGGAUAGAGAUAACUGUGGGAGCAGACUUUUCUGUUACCAUAGGAACAGACUCUCCUGUUAUCGUGGGAACAGACUCUCCUGUUAUCGUGGGAACAGACUCUCCUGUUAUUGUGGGAACAGACUCUCCUGUUAUUGUGGGAACAGACUCUCCUGUUACCGUGGGAACAGACUCUCCUGUUAUCGUGGGAACAGACUCUCCUGUUACCGUGGGAACAGACUCUCCUGUGUGUAAAGAACAGGUCCAUAGCCGCCGGGAUCACCUAGAGAUCCACCACAGGAUCCCUGAGCCUCCCUCUCCCUGCCCUGUGCCACCCUCAAUAAUUUCUCUGUCCUCCCUCUCUGACUCCAACAACCACACCAAGGCCAGUGAAAGGUUGUGGUCAGGGUCUCUCUGUAUGAGGGGCCAGAUGUCAGAGCAGUGGUCCUCUGAGGUAGAGAUAAAGGUAGCCCACCAGAGCAGGUCAAAGGAGUGUGGGGAUAAAACUGAUGGGGAGUCCCCUUCCCUGACUGAGCCCGCAACGUUAACCUCAAAAUUCCUGGGGGAGACCAAUGACACCCUGGACAGCGCUCUUGAAGACCCCCCUGAGGAUUCUGAGAAGUUCCUGUCCCUCGUGGACUACCACCCUUGCUGGUGCAGUGAUGACUCAGCCGUGUCCUGGCUAGAGGAUGAGUAUCUCUUCAGCCUGGCUGAGGUGGAAGAGCUGGAGAGGCUUCAGAGAGAGGGUUACAGAGACGCCCCUAAUCAGAACCAUACAGACUGGAGAGGAGACAUCUCUAACCAUACAGACACUACAGACUGGAGAGGAGACAUCUCUAACCAUACAGACACUACAGACUGGAGAGGAGACAUCUCUAACCAUACAGACACUACAGACUGGAGAGGAGACAUCUCUAACCAUACAGACACUACAGACUGGAGAGGAGACAUCUCUAACCAUACAGACACUACAGAGUGUAGGGAGGCUAAUUGUGCUGCAAACAGUACAACAGGCCUCUCUGAACCCUUAUCUUCCUACCUGGAGACCAGAAGCCUGCUAUUGGACAGUGCGGAGAAGGAGAAGGGCCAGCAGCCCAUUCCCCACCAAUCCCCCAAGCCUCCCUGGGACAGAGACAGACAGGAGUGUAGCAACUCACCUGAGACUUUAGGAUUAGAGGACAGUUGGUUUACUGAGGAGGACAGCUCAUACAGAUCCUACCUCCAGACCAGCUCUCACCCUACCCUCCUGCAGCAGGAUCGUGAGGUGAGAAUCGUGAGGUACCCCUAUCCCGGCGUCAGUCUCAACCUGCUCUCCCUUACUAGCCUGGAAACCAUCCUAGAGGCUGAUCCCGACCACUCCCUGGACAACUCUGGGACAGUGGAAGAUGAGACUGGGGAUGAGGAGGGAGAUAAGGAGUGGAGAAAGAUUGUUAGGAUAAGGCCCACUGAGGAGGACAGAGGCACCGUUCUUCUGUCUGGUGACAUCAUCAUAUCCUAUGUGCCCACUUUCAGCACGUCGUCGUGUCGCCCUGAGGACUUGUCCAGUAUCGAGUCGUCAGAGCACCAGCUGGUCUUGUCGACCUUUGACCCUGAUGACCCCAGGGUCAUGACCUUACCACACGACAGGGACGCCUCGGGCAGCGAGAGAUGCUCCAGUCCCACCCCCACCUCUGUGUCCUACGAUUUUGACACCACCAGCACUAACAGUGAGGAGACGGAAGAGUCCAUCAUGCCUGUCUCGGGGGGGAACGCUAACCUCCACAAACCCAUGAAGAGCAAGUCUAAAGGAGGCCGGUCGGGGAGCACCAAGAGCUCCAAGUUCUCUGUCUUCUCCAAGAUGCCUUCCUUCAGGAAGAAGAACAGUCUGAAGAACUCCAAGGUGGACAGCUCGCCCCGGGACUCACCCGACCUGGGCCUGGGAAGGGAGCUGGGGGGAGACGCCUCAGACAACGACAGUGUCUUUUUGACGGCCCAGCAGGCCUUCUCCUCUGGUCCGGUGGGUUGCUACGAGACAGAAGAGGAGGACUACAGCUUCUUCCCCUCCACGCCUCGCACCCGCCACGUCCGCCUGCUCUUCAGGGAGGGGUCCAGCAGCCCAGACACCCCUCUGACCUCCCAGCCCGGAGGUCUCAGACACAACCAGACUGGGGCCCCCGAGGGCCUGCACGGCUACAAGAGGAGCAAGAGCUCUGACAGCCUCAACCUCCGCAUGCGCUUCGCCCAGGCCCACAAGUCCCUAUCCGGCCUGUUUGAGUCUCGCUCCAUGGAUAAGGAGAACGAGGAGGAACAGGGGAGCGUUGAGACAGGGAGUGAAGGGAAGGUGGGGCGAGCCAAACAGUCCUGGAGGAGGCUGAGGGCCAAAGAGGCUGAGCUGGUGAGGAGUACCCUGUCUGUCCCGGUCGGGAAUGGGGUCGCGGGAGAGGACGGUGGGGGUUUGAGGAUGCCCAGACAGAUCCACAGUGACUAUGCAUCCCGCUCGGCCUCAGGCUUAGUGCUCAGUGUCCCUGGGUCCCCCUCUUCUCUCAGGGCUCUGAAUCUCACCGACCACUUCACCAAGAGGGGCCUGCAGGACAGUCAAAGAAGGUCCGGGGCCUACACCCCACAGGGCUGCAAGUUGGAUGGCGAGAGGAGGGAAGGGAAAGUCCCGCCCAAAGACCUGUCAAUCAACUUCUCAGACUCCGGACCGCCGUACUCGCAAGACUCUGAGGCUCCGCCCGCAAAUGAAUCCAGCGCCCUGUCGCCCAUGAGCCCCGCCUCCCUGGCUGCAUUAGCCAAUCAGCUGUCCUGGUCCCCAGGGGGAGGCUAUGAGAGCACCAUUUCUAGCAUGGUAGCUAUACCAGACACCCCAGUGAGACCCAUGAGCCCCAAGCCCCACAGCCCCAGACCUGCUGCCCAGCACAGGUCUAUCUGUCACCCCCCCACUGUCUCUGCCCGGGCCUCAGUCCUGUCCCUGCUCCUCAUGGGCCAGUCUGCCAGUGUAGAGGGCCUGUCUGACCCGCCAGAGAAGCCCAAGACCCUGAAGCCCCGAGCUGGGCCGUUAGACUCCUCCUCCCUCAGUCCAUUGGAGGAAAGAGAAGUGGACAGUCUGCUUACACCUAUGUUCUUCAAACAGCUUGAGACCAGUCAGGAUGAAUGUAGACCCUGCAGCCAGACAGGAGGAGGAGGGAAGAGGCUAUCAGAGCUGAAGACUCCUGGGCCUUCACCGGAUACUACUGCCUUAGCCCUCAGACCACCACAAGGCCACAGGCCGGACAGGGAUCCGAGACGCCACCGCUGCUGCUCAGAUGACCUGUGGAUCGAAGAGGAAACAAGACGGAAGCGGAAGCUGGCCCGAGUGAUGAGGGGAAGCCUGGGACAACUCAACACACACUGUCCUGAAGAGCUCGACAAAGUAAGACGCCACCAUGCUUACCCGUGCAAAACAACUUACAGUCUAGGGAGAAUGAUCUCUCCUCCUCCUCUUCCUCCUCCUUCCUCCUCUUCAUCUACGUACUGUCUCGAGGAAGGUUCU